rnacentral:lncRNA from 1 species
CCUUUUUCUCUGUGCAUCCUCAGUGACGCGGGGCACAGCUCUGCCCGGGGGCCUCCCAGAGCCCACCUGGACCCCACACUGGGUCAGCCCUGGUGCGGAGGAGGCCGCUCUGGGCGCGACCAGGUCACAGUCGGCACCAGAAGUUUGGCAGAUCUCAGUGAGGCGUUCGUUUGCAUUUCCUUGUGACGGGUUUUGACUGGAAUGCCAGGCUUAACGUUGCUCAGAAGUUGCUUCUAUGAGGAUGUCUCCCAGCAGCUGUCGGUGUUUCCAAUGAGUCAUUGCCAGCCCCUGCAAUGAGCCUCUCAGGCUG